rnacentral:rRNA from 1 species
CUGAUUAGAAGCUUGCUUCUAUGACGUUAGCGGCGGACGGGUGAGUAACACGUGGGCAACCUGCCUGUAAGACUGGGAUAACUUCGGGAAACCGAAGCUAAUACCGGAUAGGAUCUUCUCCUUCAUGGGAGAUGAUUGAAAGAUGGUUUCGGCUAUCACUUACAGAUGGGCCCGCGGUGCAUUAGCUAGUUGGUGAGGUAACGGCUCACCAAGGCAACGAUGCAUAGCCGACCUGAGAGGGUGAUCGGCCACACUGGGACUGAGACACGGCCCAGACUCCUACGGGAGGCAGCAGUG